rnacentral:lncRNA from 1 species
GAUAGAUAGAUAGAUAGAUAGAUAGAUAGAUGAUAAAUAGAUGUAGACUUAACCCACAAAAAGUAAGUGGAACUCUGAUAACAGAGAGGAUUGUGCUCUCCGCUUCACAGAAGGAGAUUUUAAAAAAACCCAGCUGUGAUUACCAAUAUCACAUUCAUGGUAUCACUUAACAUCAAACCUAAUAAUACCAGAAUAUUUUAAAAACCCCACCACUUUUGGAAUACAGUAUUUUCCAUUAUAUCUGCAAUUACAAUCCAUCUCCUUUCUCCAAAUCCUGCCUUAUCUUUGGACAUAGAAUUAGGCUCCACCCUGCACCUCAGAGAACUAGUAGGCUUCUGACUGACUGCAUGAUUAGCGAUAGCUCACCAAUGGAAGAACCAGAUUGAAAUAACACUGAAUAUAGCAGAAUGCAAUUAUCACUAAUAGGGAGAAUCUCGGCGAUAAAAAUGACUAUUUCCCCCAAAAUGCUAUUUUUCUUCCAAACGAUCCCAAUACUUAAUGAUACAUGAUGUCUGAAAGACUGGUGAAAAGAUCUGUCUAGGUUUAUUUGGAGGGGGAAGAAACCUAGGAUAAAACACAAGAUUCUCAUUGAUAUAAAAGAUAGAGGAAGUUUUGCACUUCCAGACUUAGAAUUGUAUUUCGAAGGUGCCUGCUUGUGUCAGAUAAAAUAAUGUGUAAAGCUUCGCUGAUUAAAACUAACACCUCAAGUAAGGACUUUAGUUAUUUAAAAGAUCUGUAGGGUUCAGGUAUGCUGAAUCAGAGUAUCCAGUCUCCAACACAGAGAGAGGUUGAUAAUCUCUUGCUAGUUCAUAUGGCAGACUGAUGUUGAUGAAGUUGUACAACACCAGCAUGCUUGACCAGGCUGGCACCCUGCAGUGAUUGCCCUGGCCGUAUUCUGAGGGGUCGACAUAACAGUUGCAACAGAUGAAAGGUGCAUGUGGCAUAAGGACACAUCAAAGACUUCAAGGUGAAUGACUGGUGUUUUGUUUAAAUUUGCAAUCACAUGGCUUUGGUCUGUGGCAAUUUUUGACACACCAAUCUGAGCAUCAUCUCACUAGCAAUGCAUGUUGGUCUGCAGGAUUUUUGAGUGGGUGGGUGUAAUUUAAAUGUAUGGUGUACCCCUUGUAUAGCCAGCUAGCCAGUUUCCUCUGUAAGUCUCACAUGCAAUAAAGUUGCCAGUUGGCUAUGCAAUGCACCUCUGUCUGGCUUCCUCUUCGAGAUACUUAAUACACAUUACUCUACUGCUGGAACACCACACAAUAUACUGCAAUAUCAUAACAAGGUACUGGACAAUCCAUGUAUUGCCUAAAGCACCAAGAAAAAAAUACUGCUAGCUUGUUUUACAGUGUCUUUGAAUUUUGUUUGUUCCUGAUUCACUUCACAGCUAGCAAGUGUCUCCAUGCUGAAUUUGAAAUGGUUUACAAAUGUAAUGCAACAGCAAAAUAACUGGGGGUGGAUGGGAUAAACCAAACCAACAACAACAGAGCAACAAGUAGGAAUCAAAACCACCUUAUUAUGUAUAAUUCUCACACAAGUCCUCUAUAAUUGUAGACACCAAAGCUGAAGGACACUCUUGAAUAUUCUUUUCACAGCUCUUGUGGUAAACAGAGGCUUCCCCUUGUUAUUACAAUGCAGCUCCAUUUGUUAUUAUUCCCUGUUCAUGUGAAAUCUAAAAGCCAACAAGGGAAUUUAGAAAGACAAAUGUGACAUUCAGGAAGAAAAUCCAAUGUAAUUUUAUUUGGGGAGUUUCUCGCAUAAUGCAUUCAACUCCCCAGGUACAUCAAGUAAUUUAGACAGAAGAUGUAAGUAAAUUCUAACAAAUGUACAGGUACUUUCGAAAGCGGGUGCUUUCAUGCCAUAUCCCCAGGUUUUAUUAUUAGCAUGACUCUUGUCCUAAUUGCAGGGUAUAAAAACAAGGCAUGCCACAGACCUGCUGAGGAGCAGCGUUGUGCCUACAGGCUGCAUUAUAAGGGCAGGCCUUCACAUUUGUGCAACAUGUGAUCUUUUUAUCACUCUCCUGGCAAUGAAGGGGGGGGGAUCAGUAGUAAAUCAAUUAAAAGUGUUAGCACUAUUGGCAGGCUAACAAGUAAAUACUGACAGUGUGGUAAAUUGAAAAGGCUCUUCCUGGCAUGAAAGUGAGAGCGAUGGCGUAAUUUAAGGGUAGCAGGAGGUUGAAAGCCACAGUACAAAGAGACCAGGGUAGAGUCGCCAUGUGUGCAGAGUUUAACAGGAUGUUAAUUGUGCAUUAAGAGUACAUAAAUAGGCAGGAGCGUGGCAGGGGCAUUUUGUUCUUGAAACAAAGAACAACCUCCACUGCAGAGUUGGAACGAAGGACGGGAUGAAUGCCAGGACGUUCUCUUUUAAAUAAGGUGGGAUUCUAUAGCAUCUUAGAAGAUUCCAUUUCAGAAAGACUUAAGAAAUCUGGGGCAAAGGCAAGUAUCCUGGCAGAGGCAUCUGUUAGUAGAAGAGAAAGUAUAUGUUCCAGUGACUUAUUCCAACUGGAGUGCCAAAAUAAGACAUAAGAAGGUGCUAAGGAAAGACUUUUGGCCAAAACUCACAGGGCAGUCUUCAGAUGAUAAGUUGCUACUUUCAGGAACCAACAUGAGGCUGGCAUCUCCUCUUUUUUUUUUUUAAUGAUAUUUAUUAAAGUUUC